rnacentral:lncRNA from 1 species
AUGGAUCAAUCUGCGGACGGAAAUACAGAGAGCAAACAGAAUGCUGCGAAACCGCUUUAUCAGCGUUAUUUGGUGUCUUUUCCAGCCAUAGUGUGUUUAGUGUUGUCGCUGAGUUCAAUAGCGGUGUGUUUUCUCAUGACUUUCAAAACGCAUCGUCUGGAGAGCAGGCUGCGCGAGCUGGAGAUAAAGAUGAUUGACAUCUGUCAAGAAUCAUCCAAGGACGUCUCUGUUCCACUGGAAACGCGGAAAUCCAUCGAAACACUCUUACAGGAGAGACUGAAUGAAGCGAUACCGAAGUUGCGUGUGGUGAGAGAUGUGACACAGGACUGCAACUGUCCUCCAGGUCCUCCGGGGAAACGUGGUCGGAUGGGCAGAACCGGCGACCCUGGACCCCCUGUAAGUAACCUGUCCUCACACUUCAAAAUAAUGACAUGUUGCAGAUAUGGGCUCUGUAUUGUGGUAAGGCAGAUAAAACAUUUAAAGGGUGAGACAUACAGUAAAACCUGAGAAACGGCCUUCAAGUUCUUUUUUUUUUUUUUUUUUACAUUUGAGAAUAUUUGCACCAGUUAAUCUGACAUUAAAGGGUUAGUUCAUCCAAAAAAGAAAAUUAUGUCAUUAAUGACUCCAAACCUGUAAGACCUCCGUUCAUCUUCGGAACACAGUUUAAGAUAUUUUAGAUUAAGUCAGAGAGCUCUCUGUCCCUUCAUUGAAACUCUGAAGCAUCAAAAAUUAAUUUUGAUCCAAAAAUAACAAAAAUUACAACUUUAUUCAACAUUGUCUUCUCUUCCGGGUCUGUUGUGAGUGCGUUGACGACGCUGCUGACAUACGACGCUGCUGACAAAUGAUUCUGCUGACGUGUACUCUGGUGCGCGCAAUAACAAAGAUAACACAUCAGCAGUGUCAUACGUCAGUGUUGUGAACGGUGUUGUGUUAUUUUUUGGACCAACAUUUUUUUUCGAUGCUUCAACAAAUUCUAACUGACCCUCUGAUGUCACAUGGACUACUUUGAUAAAGUUUUUCUUACCUUUCUGGACAUGGACAGUAUAGCGUACAUACAUUUUCAAUGGAGGGACUGAGAGCUCACGGACUAAAUCAAUUUUUUUUGGGUGGACUAACCCUUUACAUUUCUAGAACCUUCAAAUAAUUAUACAAAAUAAUUGCAUGCUAGAAUUAGCAUUCUUCUGAGAUUCCAGAAUAAAGCUUAAAUAAUAAAGUUCUGAAAUAUUCACUUCAGAGCAGCCGCAAGCUUAAGGAGAUCUGGUGCUUCUGAUAUUAAAGUUUUAGAAUAUUCAAACCAACAUUAAAGUUCUGGCAUCCAACAAAAGUGUAACACAGAGUAAGAACAAGUCGCAAACUGUCUGUCACCUGCUUUAGAUUUAGGUUAAAACUAAGCUGUCAAUAUCUUGUUGCAAAUAGAUAUAUGGCUUCGAAUCCAUAGUUUUAACAGGCUGUCAUGAAGAUUUCAUUGAUCUGUUUAAUGCUUGCAGAUGUCAAAUUAUGUGACGGCUUUCAACAUUUUAACAGUUUAGGUUGGUUUGCUAACUUUCACGUUUAGUUUGUGGUCUUCUGUAGAGCAGAGGUCCACCGGUUUAUUUACUCAGAAGUCUAUUGCAAUGUUAUGAAACCCUAAAACACUUUUCAUUUAUAAUCCUGCAAAGUGCUUUUAUUCCAACUAAUAAACACAUAAAACAGAGCUGAAAGACUGACAGGUUGUGUUUUUCUAUUCAAGUUUUGCAAUGUGUAAGUAUGAUCUUCAAAUUCAAAUUGGUUAUUGCGAAUAAUUUACUUUUUAUCACACUGGAUUUUAAAAUAUUUGUUUGUUUUUUUUAAGCUGAACAUAGAUUCUCUUGAGAUUAUGAAAUCUGUCAUGAUGCUACAUUGGGAUAUAAUCUUUUUUUUAAUUUUCAUCUACUGUAGGUCCUUAUUUAUACAUUAUAUCUCAUUUUUCUUUGCACAGGGCACACCUGGGCGAGACGGUUACCCGGUAAAUGUCCUUUAAAUUAUCUAGUUUCUUCUUGGGUCUAAAUCUCCAUUUUUAUGGAGGUCUUUUUCUAAUUGCUUCACCUCCAGUUGACUUGCUCUUCAUCUCUGUUUUUUUUUUUUUUUCAUUUCUGUCUUACUAAAUAUCUGUGCAGUCCCCAGCUAACAGAGAAUUUCCACAUAAUAGAAAAAUAACUAAACCGUAGAACAUUUUAGCAAAUCCUUCUUGAAGCAUAUUUUUGUUCGCAGUGUGAUAGAAUAUAUAUUUUUAAGAGGAACACGAAUUAAACUGCUUAUGCAGGGAGAGAAGUGUUAGUAAUAGUGUCUAAAGUAAGCACUAAAAAGUGUAACAACAAUGAGUUUUACAUAGUAAUUAACUCAAAUGAUAUAUAGGGAGUUUGAAUAAUUAAUCAGGAAUCUGAAUUAAACACAUGAAUCGAUGAUCUGCAUAUCCGUUACAAAAGUUUCAAACACUCUUCAUCAUCGACACCAUCGUCUCUGAUGAAGAAUGAACCUCUUUCGCUGCUAUUUCAGCAACAUGGCCCACAAUGAAGCUGAGUUUCCUGGAAUGAGAGAAAGCGCUCCUGGGCUCAAUUACGCUGGAAUGGUGUUUCUCUGGUGAAACCGCUAUAGAUUCAUCCCUUUGGCUAAAUGUGUGUCCAGGACAGCAGGCCAGAAACACUUAGGACUUUUAGUUUAUAAUUUCCAGCUUUCUUGAACCCUGAAAUGGAAAGCACUGGGAAAGCAGCCGGGCGUAGACAAAACAUCACAUGUGAACUUUGACAUAUGGGCAGAGCUGCCCUGAUCUCAUAAAGUACAUCACACAUCUGAUGGUUGUUUUCUGAUAGCUCGACUUUGAUUAGAGUAGUUUGUUUGUGUUCAAAAUAAAAAGAAAAGACAUUUGCUUGGUAAACUGUGAGUCAUAAUAAUUGCAUCAUGUAUUUCAUUUAUAAAACAAGCCCCAGUCAAACAAUCAAUAGUCUUUUUCAGUACCUCUGUUUAUGUAGAUACAAACAUGAGAUCAAUUCUUGGGGUCCAAACAGAUGUCCAUCUGAACUGGAUCAUUGUUUUGAUUGUAUGAUCUACUGUAGAAGUGGUCUGGUGGCCUCUAGUGGCUGUCAGUGGAACUGCGGACAGCAGAAUGAUAAGCAGCAGGCUGUUCUGGAACAUGUCAAGGUGAACCUGGGGUCAGAUUGUGGUUAGUCACAAAGCGAAUGAGGCUCUGUACCUUGUUUUGUCUGGAUCUUAAUUGUGGACCCCAUGGUUUGGUUAGUUUGGCUCCAGAUAUCAAGAGAUGUUUAGUUAACAAGCCUUACUCACCUCGCGGCGUGAAGUAUGAGUUCAAUAAGAGUAUAUUUGUCUGGGAGUUCUGAGUAAGCAUUACUGUGGCUCUUUAGCCAGUUAUACUGCAGAUAUUAUUUAUUACAUUACCACUUCCUGUUCCUGUACCCAUUAUCUCUACUAUCGUCAAAGUAAAUUAGUGAUGUCUGAACUGAUAUGCUGUGGCGUAUCUGCUGUAAGAUCAGCCUCUAGAUAGAAGUCUUUGCCAGGCUGAGUCAGUCAUGCCCAGCAAAUUAGUAUCAGAGGUACACUCAUGGUUUUCCCAGAUUUGUACGUCUGCUGGGAAAAGUCCUUGGUUAAUUAUAGACAGGUGUGUGUGUGUGUGUGUGUGUGUGUGUACAUGCAACACACACUCAUUCUUGAGACAAAAAAAAAUAUUGGUCACAUUUCACUAUAAAAUCAUAAAAAGGUGUUUUUUUAAAUUGUUUAUUAUGUAUAUAUGUUAAACAUACGCAUACAUAUUUAUGCAAAAAUAAAUACAGGAAUAAAAUCUCAUGCUCAUAGCUGUAGUAAAGUAAUAAAAGUCCUGUUCAGACACAAUGAAAUCAACGAACUGUUCAUUUAAAUACACUAAAAUCAUAAAUUAACUUUAAUUAUUUAUUUCAAUAAUGG